UUUUGUUUUUUUUUUUUUUUUGAGCUUGUUUAUUUAGAUUUCCAUGUAUGAUGAUUAUAGUAUACUCUUCAUUCUUUUUUUUCUUUUUUUUUUUGAGCUUGUUUAUUUAGAUUUCCAUGUAUGAUGAUUAUAGUAUACUCUUCAUUUCUUUUUUUUCUUUUUUUUUUUGAGCUUGUUCAUUUUCCAUGUGGUAUCUCUGAGCACCACAACUUGUGGGUCGACAUCUUUUCUGUUUCUUUUUUAGCAUUUACAUGUUUUUCUCUUUCAUUAGAAGUUAACCUUUUAAUAAAAAAAAAAAAGAAGUAUAUUUCCCCUUUUGCAAAUUUUCUAAGAACAGAACUAUGAUUUGUCAGCGUGAUAUCUAACUUAAAUUCUAGUAAAUGAUAAUGUUAUAUCAUAUUUGCACAAAAAAAUAAAAAAGGCAAAGAAACUCAUGUAUACAUCAUGUGGUUGUUCCUUUAUGAGUGUGUUUAAAAGCCUCAUGUUUGUUAUGAGUGUGUCCAACUCUCUGUAUCGUGUGUGUGUAUAUAUGUGUGUGUGUUUAAGUGGUGAGUGGUUACUGGUUAAUAUCCACCUUCUUAAUAUAAUUUUUUUCUAUGAUAUCCACAACUUCUUAUUCAUUUUAUCUCUACAAAAUUCCUUUGUUUUUUUUUUGGUUUGCAUGCCAUAUGCUUUUCAUUGAGGCCUUAUUGACCAUACCGAGUAUAUAUAUUGACUACCAUUUUACAUACCUUCUUUUCUUUCUCCUUAAAUCCUUCAAGAUGUUGCAUGGAUUUCGUCAUCCGAAUUUCCAUGCAGAAAGGUUCUUUUUAUAUCUAAAUGAUCUAAAUGAAAGUCAUGCAAAGCAAUUGUAGUAAUAACAAAUCGAAUAGAACUAUUCUUUUCCAUUAGUUAGAUCUUAUUGAAAUCGGUGCCUUCUUUUAGGUCAUAUCCCUUCACUAUGAAUCGUGUUUUAUAAUUUUCUUCGCCUUCAUCAUUGCUCCUCAAAAUAACUAUAUAUUAAAAAAAUCAUAUAUUGAAUAAUUGAGUUUUAUGAUUGGUUAUUUGUAUAGGAUUAUACUUCGAAUUUUUUGUUUCUUUUUAGAUAUUGUGAUGGUUUUGGGUUAAGGUGAAAUUGGUGCACAUAGGUGUGUAUGUUAUUUACUUUAGUAUGCACUUGGUUCUCACCUCUCUUUGUGUGUGACAUUAGUUCAGGUAAAUUCAUUUUGUUUUGCUAAUUAUUUUUUAUUUAUAUAUCUCAAACUCAUUGAUUUAUAGGUUUCAUGCAUUUUUUUUAGAUACAUGUAUCUGUAAUUAUUGUGUGUAUGUUGUCCAGUCAUGGUUAUUUGAGCAUUUCAAAACAUUGCGGUAUGAGGGAAGUAGUUGACGGGUUGAAGCUAGUAUACCAAGGGCUGCAAGAUGGGUACACCAAGGAAAAGAGGAUAACCAAGUUACUAAUUUCGCAUACUAUCAGCAAGAAUUAGAUCUCCUUGAAUCUGAAAGGGUAUAAUUGCAAUGCUUAUUAGUUAAUAUACUCUUACGCUUGAUAGUUAUUCAUAAUUAAUCAUGUAUAUUUGUUUAUAUGUGUGUUGUUAUCCAUUCCUACUGGUAUUAUGAAACCGAUAUGCAAAAGAGAAAGACCAUGGCGAUGAGGAUGUCCAUCAAAGGGUUCUAGAUCAAGAGGCAUUUGAGACCUCUCUUUGUAGAGCAUAUGUGGUAUUUGACAACAUAGCAAAGUGUUACCUCCCAAAGCCGAUACUGAGACAAUUUGGACUAAGACAGCCCAUCCCAGCAGAUCCCGGUAAACAUGACAGAUUCGAGAGGUGGGGCAAAAAUGAAGAAAAGUGGGAGCAGAAACUCGCCUCUUAAAACAGAGACUUGCACGACCUGCUUCAGAAUCGUCAAACAGUUAUCCAAAGUAGGCCAUUUGAUUGGAAUUGUUGACAGUGGGCCGGCGCGGCUCAAGACCUCAAUAUCAAUAUUUUAGGGAGAUCAAGCUAGAGUUGAUAUUGUCUAAAGACGGGUUCGUUGAGGAAGAACCAGAGUCCAAUGAUGAUUAUGAACAAGAGCCUACAUUAAUUGUUGAGCCACAAAUGCAGAGCAACCGCAAAAGAACUAACGAUCCGCACGGCCUCAAGACCCCAUGACUGAUGAGAGAGUGGGUCCCAAUACCCCAACCUCUGGGAAGAGGAUAAAAGUACUUGCCCAGAAGAGGACAUUGAUUUUAUAUUGUAAAAUUUCGAUGUAAUUUGGAGUACUUUUGAUAAGAUCAAUGAAAAUUUGAAAACUC